AGUGAACGCUGGCGGUAGGCCUAACACAUGCAAGUCGAACGGCAGCACAGUAAGAGCUUGCUCUUACGGGUGGCGAGUGGCGGACGGGUGAGGAAUACAUCGGAAUCUACUUUUUCGUGGGGGAUAACGUAGGGAAACUUACGCUAAUACCGCAUACGACCUACGGGUGAAAGCAGGGGAUCUUCGGACCUUGCGCGAUUGAAUGAGCCGAUGUCGGAUUAGCUAGUUGGCGGGGUAAAGGCCCACCAAGGCGACGAUCCGUAGCUGGCCUGAGAGGAUGAUCAGCCACACUGGAACUGAGACACGGUCCAGACUCCUACGGGAGGCAGCAGUGGGGAAUAUUGGACAAUGGGCGCAAGCCUGAUCCAGCCAUACCGCGUGGGUGAAGAAGGCCUUCGGGUUGUAAAGCCCUUUUGUUGGGAAAGAAAAGCAGCAGGUUAAUACCCCGCUGUUCUGACGGUACCCAAAGAAUAAGCACCGGCUAACUUCGUA
rnacentral:rRNA from 1 species